rnacentral:rRNA from 1 species
UGGGGAAUUUUGGACAAUGGGCGAAAGCCUGAUCCAGCCAUGCCGCGUGAGUGAAGAAGGCCUUCGGGUUGUAAAGCUCUUUUAGUCGGAAAGAAAGCGUUGCAAUGAAUAAUUGUGAUUUAUGACGGUACCGACAGAAAAAGCACCGGCUAACUACGUGCCAGCAGCUGCGGCAAUACGUAGGGUGCGAGCGUUAAUCGGAUUUACUGGGCGUAAAGGGUGCGCAGGCGGUCUUGCAAGUCAGAUGUGAAAGCCGCGGGCUUAACCUGGGAAUUGCGUUUGAAACUACAAGGCUAGAGUGCAGCAGGGGGGAGUGGAAUUCCAUGUGUAGCAGUGAAAUGCGUAGAGAUGUGGAAGAACACCGAUGGCGAAGGCAGCUCCCUGGGUUGACACUGACGCUCAGGCACGAAAGCGUGGGGAGCAAACA